AACACCACCUGCCAACAUUCAGCCUCCUCUGCCCAUCAGCCUUGCUGACACAGGGAGUGGAGAUUUGUGUAGAGAAAUGACUCAUUCAAAUAUGACUUAAUCUAAACCGUAAGUGUAUGAUUUAUUAAUGUGCCACCAGGCCUUACACCAAGAGAGCCAUUCCAGAGAAAAGUCCUUUUUCUCCUGAGAACAGUGCCAGCAGCUGGCUUCGUGACAUUCUGGAAGCCCCGUGCAAUGCUGUCAGGAGCAUAGGGAUUUUACUUUAUCUCCCUUGCUUAUGCUCCACAUAACUGAAAUAUCUCACUGGAAGCUGCAGCAGUGCUGGCCCCUUGCACAGCCAUAUGUGACCACUGCAGAACAAUCAGUUGGAGAGACAGUUUGGACUACAUGGAGGGUGGAGAUAAGGACAAAGUGAAGAAUACACAGGAACCAGUGCCUCCUCCUGGAACUAUGCAACUCCAAGCUGCUUCCAUCAGCUGCUAGGUCCAGUAGGGAGGGACCUACUGAGAGAAGGUGCCUGCUUCCCUUUCCGCUGUGAUUGUAAGUUUCCUGAGGCCUCCUCAGCCAUGUGGAACUAGCUAAUUAAAAAUGUGGUGUCCUGGACUCACGAAGCCAGAAUUGCUGAGGAGAUAGCCCGAGAAUCUGAAUUUUUAGCAGACAUUUUUUUAGGUACCUUACCCGCAGGAUCAUUUCUGUGAAUAUCCAUGAGGUGAAAAAGUCUGGGAAACACUGUCCUAGGGUGUGGGGAAGAGCGAGAAAAAGAUUUCCGCUCUGGAAGGUAAACAAAUACUCUCUGGAGAGAGAAGAGGAAUGUCCCUAGCAGAUGUCUCCAGAGAAGACAAGACUUUAAAUUCCGCCAGGGAAAUAUACAAUGUCUAACUUCUAAGGCACAUUUGCCAUUCAAUCAUGCUUUAACCCACGUUGCCAGAAAUUUUUGCUCACUAGGUUUUGACUGUACAGGAAUGUGAAAAUAUUCAUGAAGAGUUGUUUUCCAAUGCUAAAGAAUUGAUGUGUUUUAACAGUUGAAUUAAUUGUAUUGAUUAUGAUCACACCUACUUUUUAUAUAUCUUCAUUUCUAACGUUUCUGUACAAUCCUGCCUUUCCACCUGAUAUAGUUAGGCCUUGUGUCAUCAACCAAAUCUCAUCUUGAAUUGUAAUCGCCAUAAUCCCCACGUAUUUAGGGAGAGACCUGGAGGGAGGUGUUUGGAUCAUGGGGGCGGUUUCCCGCAUGCUGUUCUCAUGACCAUGAGAGUAAGUUCUCAAGAGAUCUGAUGGUUUUAUAAGCGUCUGUCAUUUCCACUGCUUGCACUUCUGUGUCCUGCCACCUUGUGAAGAAGGACGUGGUUGCUUCCCCUUCCACCAUGAUUGUGUUUCCUGAGGCCUCCCCAGCCUUGCAGAGCUGUGAGUCAAUUAAACCUCUUUCCUUUAUAAAUUACUCAGUCUCUGUAUUCCUCUGCAGCAGUGUGAGAACAGACUAAUACAUCACCACUUUAUUUACUUUACUCUCUCCCCAUACCGAGGUUUUCUACAUUUUCUUUCUAGGUCUCUACAGUUUCUGCAAAGAUCCUUUAUGGAACUCUUAGGGAAGCUGGGAUGUAUAAUAAAUAAAGGGCUCUUUUCUUUGAGUCCCACACCCAUUUUCUGUGUAUAAAAAUCUUCAACUCCACUUUUGUCUGUUCUAUUUAAAUGUGUGCACAUUUCCUUCUAAUGUUGUAUAUGAAAAAGAGACACCUCUUAGCAGUCUUUCAUAGAGCAAAAUUUUUUACUUUGAUAAAAUCUAAUUUAUCAAUAUUUUUAAAUUUUAUGGAUCAAUCAUGCUUUUGAGGUUGAAUUUAAGAAUGCUUUGCCUAGCCCUAGAUCCCAAGUAUCUUUUAAAAAUUAUUUUUCUAAAUGCAUUAUUUAUGUUUUACACUUAAGUCUAUAAUCCAUUUUGAGUCCAUGUGUAAGAUUUAGGUUAAGGUCAAGAUUUAUCUGUUUUUGUUGUUUUCUCUAUAAAUGUCAAUUGCUCCAGCACUAUUUGUUUAAAAGCCAAUCUUUCCUCCGCUGAGUUCUUCCUAUAAGUUUGUCAAAAGUCAAUUUGGCAUCUUUGUAUAAGUUUAUUUCUGGAUUCUCUAUUCUGUUUUAUUGAUCACUGCAUCUAUCCCUCUUGAUUAGCUAGAUAAUAAAUCCUACAAUAAGGUAGAAUUCUUCCCACUUUAUUCAUAUUCAAAAUAUUUUAAAGCUAUUCUAGUUUCUUUUUAUUUCCAUAUAUAUUUUAGGAUAAUCUUAUCUAUAUUUACAACAUAUGUUGCUAGGAUUUUGAUAGAAUUUGUUUUAAAUUUGUGUAUCAAUGUAGGGAAGACCUGACAUCUUUACUAUUACGUUGAUCUUCCAAUCAAUGAAUAUGGUAUAUCUCUCAGUUUAUAGCUAUUGUCUUUAAUUUAUUUCAUCAUGGUUUUUAGUUUUCAGCAGAGAAGCUUUAUACAUGUUUUGUUAUACAUGUAUAACAAAAGAAGCCUUAUACACUGACAUUUUAUAUUUUGAACAAUUGUAAAUGGUAUUGUUUAAAAAUUUUGUUGUCUAUGAUAGAAAUAAAAUUGAUUUUUGUAGGUUUAUCUUGUAACCUAUGACUUGCUGAGCUCGCUCAUUAGUUUUUUUAUUGUGAUAAAAUAUACAUGAGAUAAAUUUCAUCAUUAUAAUCAUUAAGUUUAGACAUCAAUUGCAUUAAGUACAUAAAUGCCUUAUGCAACCAUCAUCUCUAUCCAUCUCCAGACCCUUUGCAUCACCCUAAAAUGAAACUCUGUGCCCAUUAAACAAUAACUCCCCAUUCUGCCCUCACCCCAGCCCUUGGUAAUUACCAUCCUACCUUUUAUCUCUAUAAAUUUAACCAUCCCAGGUAACUCAUAUAAGUGGAAUCAUGCAGUGUUUGUCCUUUUGUAACUGGUUUAUUUCACUUAGCAUGAUGUCUUCAAGGUUUGCCUAUGUCAUAGCAUGUGUCAGAAUUUCAUCCCUUUUUAAACUUAAAUAAUAUUCCACUGUAGGCAUAUGCCACAUUUUGUUUAUUUGUUCAUCUGUUGAUGGGCAUUUGGGUUGUUUCCACCUUUUGGCUACUGUGAAUAAUGCUGCUGUGAUCAUGGGUAUGCAACUGUCUCCUGGAGUCCCUGCUAUCAAUUCUUGUGGGUAUAUACCCAGAAGUGGAAUUGUUGCAACAUAUAGUAAUUCUAUGUUUAAUUUUUUGAGGACCUGCCAUAAUGUUUUCCACAGUAGCUACAUUGUCUUAUAUUCCCAUUAAGAGUUCCAAUUUCCUCACAUCUUCACCAAUACUUAUUGUUUUCUGUUUUUUUAAAUAAUAGCCAUCAUAAUAAAAGUAACAUGGUAUCUCAUUGUGGUUUUAACUGCAUUUCCCUUUUUACUGGAUUGUUUGUAAUAUUGCUGUAAUUGAGUUGUAGGAGUUUUUAAAUAUGUUCUGAAUAAUUAAUUUCUUAUCAGAUAUGUCAUUUGCAAAUAUUUUCUGCCAUUCUCUGGGUUGUCAUUUCACUCUCUUGAUAGUGUCCUUUGAUGCACAGAAGUUUUGAAAUUUGAUAAAGUUUAAUUUGCGUAUGUAUUUAUUUUGUUGCUUAUGCUUUUGGUGUCAUAUCCAAGAAAUUAUUGCCAAAUUCAGUGUCAUGAAGAUUUUCCCCUGUGUUUUCCUCUAAGAGUAUUAUAGUUUUAACUCUUGCACUUAGAUUGAUCCGCUUUGAGUUAAUUUUAGUAUAUGGGGUAAGACAAGGGCUCAAAUUUGUUCUUUUGUUUGAAGAUUCUAGGUCAUUUGUGAUCUUUAGGAUUUUCUAUGUAGACAUUAAUGUCAUCUUCAAAUAUGAACAGUUUAUUUCUUCCUUUUGUAUAUGUAUGAAUUUACUUUCCUUUUCUUGCCUUAUUGCACUGGCUAGAGUUUUCAGUACUAUGAUGAAUAAAAUCAGUGAGAGCAGACACCCUUGCUUUGUUUCUAAUCUUAGGAGGAAAGCUUUCAGUCUUUCAUCAUUAGGUAUACUGUUAGUUGUAGGCUUAUUAUAGAUGCUCUUUAUCAGGUUGAGGCAGUUUCCUCCUUGGUUAAGACUUUCUAUUUUUCAUUUUCAGUUAUGACCAGGCAUGUUCAUAACUGCUCAUCAAAACUUUGAAUUAGUGGCUGCUUUAACAUCCUUCUCAGACAAUUCUAACAUCUGUUUUGUUGGUGGUGGCAUCUAUCAAUUGUCUUUUUCAUUCUGUUUGAGAUCUUCCUUGCGUUUGGUAUGAUUUUUUUAAAUAUUAUGUCAUGAAACUGCAUCUUAUUUAAAUCUUCUGUUUUAGUUGGCUAUGUCUGACAUCACUUCCCCAGGGGAAGGUGUUGUUACUGCUAGUGGAGGGUGAGAAUUAUGGCUCUCCACUGACAUUGUGGUGGGAUUGGUCCCAUUACCACUGGGCAGGGUUGAAAGUCCUGACUUUCUGCUAGGCCUUCUCUGACUUCAUCGCAGCAGGAGGAAAAGAUGCCUCUGGAGUUGAAGUCAGGUUGCACUGACACUGUGUGUGUAUGGAGGUAGGCUGGGGUGAAAGUGGAGACUCAUUACCACAUGGUGAGUAGUUUCCAGCUCUCUAUUUGGCCUUCUCUGAUACCACCCAGACAGGGACAUUGGGGAUACCUCAUUACAGCCUAGUGAGGGUCAAACUCUAGGCUCCCCACUCAGUCUUUGCUAUCAUGGACACUGUAGGACCAUAGUUUUUUCUGUGCUGUUUGCUUGAUGUGUCUUCCUUGGACCCUGAGUUCCAUAGCUGGUCUGCAUUCCUCUCUCCACCUUUAAGACGUCUUCUUAUGUUUAUUUCAUAUUUAACAUCCAGGGUGGUAAUUAGAGGGAAGAAUAGAGGGAAAAGUACAGUUGCACUUUGUUGUUCAAAGAGCAGUUUUGAACUGCACAGACCCAUUUCUCUGAGCACACCCAGGGAUGAUUGUACUUGUAUAAAAUUUUUUUCCUGGAUGCAGAAUUCUCAAUUGACUGUGAAAGUUCAUAACAAAGAAAACAGUGGGGAAGACAAAUCUGGAAAUGAGGAAAAUAAAAAUUAAAUAGUGAGACCACCCAUGGAGCUUGUGGCAAAGCCUGAAUUGAAUCCGCUGUAUCUUAAGAUUGUGCCUCAUUCUAAAUUUAAGUCACCCUUCUCAUUAUGAAAGUGUCACAACUUCUCAGUAGGUGAGGAGACAGUCUAAAUUUGAGAAAAGAAAGUUACAACAAAGGUUUUGAGCAAGCUGCUAAGUGGAUUUAUUCAUGUUUGAGAAAUCAAAUAUAUGGUUAAUGAGCUCUUUAACUAGAAGCCAACACUAGGGAGGAGUAGACAGAAGUCACGGGGAGGGAGCCCCCGGACAUUUCAAAAGACUUUGCCCUGCAACAUCUCCUCCACAUUUAAGCUUUUAGGUUAUUGUAGCCACAUCACAAGCAUGUUACCUACCCAGAUAUUGUCUGCGCAUCAUUCCCAAAAGCUUCCCUGGGUCUUCAUAAUAUUAAUGAGAUUCUCCCCCAGGUUAGACCCCUUUGGCUUGAGUCAGAAACAGAAUUAAUCCGGGGGACAAUCCAGCAGCACCCAUCUCUGGGUUGCAGAAAUAUCUGAGGUGACCAGGCAGUGUUUGGAGUCCCCUCAGUUAGCUAACAAAGUGAGUUCACAGCUUCCAAGACCCCAGGCUUUCCAGGCUAAUAAAGAGCUGAGGUUAUAGGCUCUCCUUAUCAAACGCUCUUUGGCAGCUGCCAUAACCAUUCCAAGUCUAGUCCUAGAAUAGAAAUGACGCGGUUUCAGGAGCUGACAGAUGGAACUUUAAGCCUUCCUUCCUGCCACAUCUGAAGUUCUUUUUUAAAAAAAUAGAAAACCAUGACAAUAAACACUCCUUGAAUGCCCUGUGGAAAAGUGUACUCCUCAGAAUUCACUAAAGUGGGGUGAAGCAGUGGGUUGUGGUGCUGAGAAAACAUCUCUUCCCCUCGGCAGUAUAUUGGAAUCUCAUAGAAACUUCUGUGGCUGGGAAGCAAACAUGCUCUCUGCCCCAUUGCUCUUAUUCAUCUUUAGACCUGAUAAUACAGUUUGAACUUCAAGUUGCACUUUAAAUGGCAUGCAUUUUUA
rnacentral:lncRNA from 10 species